rnacentral:rRNA from 1 species
UACAGAGGUCCCAAGCGUUGUUCGGAUUCAUUGGGCGUAAAGGGUGUGUAGGUGGCGCCGUAAGUCGGGUGUGAAAUCUCGGGGCUUAACUCCGAAACUGCAUUCGAUACUGCGGUACUUGAGGACUGGAGAGGAGACUGGAAUUCAUGGUGUAGCAGUGAAAUGCGUAGAGAUCAUGAGGAAGACCAGUGGCGAAGGCGGGUCUCUGGACAGUUCCUGACACUGAGACACGAAGGCCAGGGGAGCAAACGGG